rnacentral:rRNA from 1 species
CUCAGGACGAACGUUGGCGGCGUGCUUAACACAUGCAAGUCUGCGAGAAAGUAUAGCAAUAUAGCGAGUAAAGCGGCGAAAGGGUGCGUAACGCGUAAGCAACUUGCCCAUAGGAUGGGGAUAACGUCGAGAAAUCGGCGCUAAUACCCAAUAAUGCAGCGGCAUCGCAUGAUGAUGUUGUUAAAGGUCGCUUCGGUGGCGCCUAUGGAUGGGCUUGCGUCUGAUUAGUUAGUUGGCGAGGUAACGGCUCACCAAGACGACGAUCAGUAGCUGGUCUGAGAGGAUGAUCAGCCACACUGGAACUGAGACACGGUCCAGACUCCUACGGGAGGCAGCAGUGAGGAAUAUUGGGCAAUGCCCGCAAGGGUGACCCAGCAACGCCGCGUGGAGGACGACAGCCGUAAGGUUGUAAACUCCUGUUCGGGGGGACGAAUAACCGUCGUUUGCAAAGGCGACGGCUUGACGGUACCCUCAGAGAAAGCCCCGGCUAACUACGUGCCAGCAGCCGCGGUAAUACGUAGGGGGCAAACGUUGUCCGGAUUUACUGGGUGUAAAGGGCGCGCAGGCGGGUCGGUCAGUCAGAGGUGAAAGCCCACAGCUUAACUGUGGAACUGCCUUUGAUACUGCCGAUCUUGAGUGCGGGAGAGAGAAGCGGAAUUCCAGGUGUAGUGGUGAAAUACGUAGAUAUCUGGAAGAACACCGGUUGCGAAGGCGGCUUCUUGGACCGACACUGACGCUGAGGCGCGAAAGCGUGGGGAGCGAACAGGAUUAGAUACCCUGGUAGUCCACGCUGUAAAACGAUGAAUGUACGAUGUCGGGGGAUUCAACCUUCGGCGUCAAAG